rnacentral:rRNA from 1 species
GACGAACGCUGGCGGCGUGGAUUAGGCAUGCAAGUCGAACGGUAGGAUACCUUCGGGUAUCUGAGAGUGGCGAACGGGUGAGUAACACGUAGGUGAUCUACCCUCAAGAUUGGGACAACCCAGGGAAACUUGGGCUAAUACCGGAUGAAAGCAGCAGUGAUGUUGUUUGAAAGGUGGCGUAAGCUGCCGUUUGGGGAUGAGCCUGCGCUCUAUUAGUUAGUUGGCGGGGUAAAGGCCCACCAAGGCGAUGAUAGAUAGGCGGCCUUAACGGGUGGUCGCCCACACUGGGAUUGAGAUACGGCCCAGACUCCUACGGGAGGCAGCAGUCGAGAAUAGUCUACAAUGGCCGAAAGGCUGAUAGUGCGACGCCGCGUGAACGAAGAAGCCCUUCGGGGUGUAAAGUUCUUUUAUAUGUGAGCAGUGCCUUCUAUGUGAACAGCAUGGGGAGAGAGAUAUUAGCAUAUGAAUAAGCAACGGCUAACUCCGUGCC